GCUGGGCCCAUAACCCAGAGGUCGAUGGA
rnacentral:piRNA from 4 species